rnacentral:rRNA from 2 species
AACGUAGGAGACAAACGUUAUCCGGAGUUACUGGGCGUAAAGGGCGUGCAGGCGGCAGUCUAAGUCUGGCGUGAAAUUUCCCGGCUUAACCGGGGGAGGUCGUCGGAUACUGGGCAGCUCGAGGGCGGUAGAGGCGUGUGGAAUUCCGGGUGUAGUGGUGAAAUGCGUAGAGAUCCGGAGGAACACCAGUGGCGAAGGCGACACGCUGGGCCGCACCUGACGCUAAGACGCGACAGCAUGGGGAGCAAACAGG